AGAGCAUCCAAUAAACUGACUGAUCAUAAAUAAAAGUAUCAAAAAACAGGACUAAAAAAGGAAGGGUGGCUAGCAGAAAUCAACAUUAGUUCAUUUACCAGUAAAGUGAUAUAAACUGCCCCCUUGAGUCCUACAAGCAGCACUGUCACAGUACACUGGAGAGAGGAAAUUAAGCUGCAGUUGGCUUGGUGGCCACUGGGAGACUGUUGCUGUAAAAAGGAAGCUGUGGAAAACUGUGGGUUGAUGACAUCGUGUUUCAGAAGCUUUGACUGCAACAGUUCAAUAAGUUGCAUCAGUGCUGUGCCUGUUGUAAAUAUAAAUGCAGAAACAUUUUUUAAAAUUUAUGUUUUCUUAUAAACAUGAAUCUCCUCUUGUUUGUGCUUUUUAUAUUCACUGAUUUCUCCCACGGUGUUAAAAUUGACCAGCCUCAAUUUAUUUCAAGCCGUGAAGGAUCUGCAUUUGUGACUCUGAAAUGUGAACAAGAUGACAGACAACAUUACUACAUGUACUGGUACAAACAAAGCAGCAGUGGGAAACUGGAGUUAUUGACAUAUUCUACUGGUCAAGAUAACUCAUUCAUUGAAGCUCCUUUUGAAAAAAUGAAGUACACCAUGUCUCGGCGUUCCGUGCUUAACUCCACUCUGCAGAUACACCCUGUUAAGGCUGAAGACACGGCUCUGUACUACUGUGCUUCUAGUAGAGCACAGUGGUUCAGGAAGCCUCAGCAGCUAAACAACAACCUCAGUGGGAAAAAAAAUGACUACAUGAUGGGGAGGAUGGAUAAAUGGAAAGGCUGAUAUGUGUAACUCUGAUAGCAUCUUACAAUACAUUUCAGAGAGAUACCAAUGUGACAUUAUAAGACAAAAGAAAUCCUAUAAACAAUAAUAAAGAACAUUUACUGACACAUAUAAAGUACAAGAACUGCCUCUGCAAAGUUCAGUCAUGUCUCUGCAUCACCACAAAGCUGAUCUGUUCAGAUAAGUGAGCAGGUGUUGGUACAGUAAAGAUAUUUUACUACGUUCAGUAUUGUUUUCAUGAAAUAAAAUAAAAUCAUGCCAUUCAAUUAUUUGCUACUACAAGC